AGAGUUUGAUCCUGGCUCAGAUUGAACGCUGGCGGCAGGCCUAACACAUGCAAGUCGAGCGGCAGCGGGUCCUUCGGGAUGCCGGCGAGCGGCGGACGGGUGAGUAAUGCCUAGGAAUCUGCCUGGUAGUGGGGGAUAACGUUCGGAAACGGACGCUAAUACCGCAUACGUCCUACGGGAGAAAGUGGGGGAUCUUCGGACCUCACGCUAUCAGAUGAGCCUAGGUCGGAUUAGCUAGUUGGUGGGGUAAAGGCUCACCAAGGCGACGAUCCGUAACUGGUCUGAGAGGAUGAUCAGUCACACUGGAACUGAGACACGGUCCAGACUCCUACGGGAGGCAGCAGUGGGGAAUAUUGGACAAUGGGCGAAAGCCUGAUCCAGCCAUGCCGCGUGUGUGAAGAAGGUCUUCGGAUUGUAAAGCACUUUAAGUUGGGAGGAAGGGCAGUAAGUUAAUACCUUGCUGUUUUGACGUUACCGACAAAAUAAGCACCGGCUAACUCUGUGCCAGCAGCCGCGGUAAUACAGAGGGUGCAAGCGUUAAUCGGAAUUAUUGGGCGUAAAGCGCGCGCAGGCGGCGCUUUAAGUUGGGGGUUAAAGGCAAUGGCUCAACCAUUGUUCGCCUCCAAAACUGGAGCGCUUGAGUGCAGCAGAGGAAAGUGGAAUUCCCGGUGUAGCGGUGGAAUGCGUAGAGAUCGGGAGGAACACCAGUGGCGAAGGCGACUUUCUGGGCUGUAACUGACGCUGAGGCGCGAAAGCGUGGGGAGCAAACAGGAUUAGAUACCCUGGUAGUCCACGCCGUAAACGAUGAGUGCUAGGUGUUGGGGGCUUUCCCGCCCUCAGUGCCGCAGCUAACGCAUUAAGCACUCCGCUUGGGGAGUACGGCCGCAAGGCUGAAACUCAAAGGAAUUGACGGGGGCCCGCACAAGCGGUGGAGCAUGUGGUUUAAUUCGAAGCAACGCGAAGAACCUUACCAAGGCUUGACAUCCCGUUGACCGGGGUAGAGAUACCCCUUCCCUUCGGGGCAACGGUGACAGGUGGUGCAUGGUUGUCGUCAGCUCGUGUCGUGAGAUGUUGGGUUCAGUCCCGCAACGAGCGCAACCCUUAUCGUUAGUUGCCAGCAUUUAGUUGGGCACUCUAACGAGACAGCCGGUGAAAGCCGGAGGAAGGUGGGGAUGACGUCAAAUCAUCAUGCCCCUUAUGUCUUGGGCUACACACGUGCUACAAUGGCCAGUACAAAGGGUUGCGAACCCGCGAGGGGGAGCUAAUCUCAUAAAGCUGGUCUCAGUUCGGAUCGUAGGCUGCAACUCGCCUACGUGAAGCUGGAAUCGCUAGUAAUCGCGGAUCAGCAUGCCGCGGUGAAUCCGUUCCCGGGCCUUGUACACACCGCCCGUCACACCACGAGAGUUUGUCACACCCGAAGUCGGUGAGAGAACCGCAAGGACUCAGCCGCCGAAGGUGGGGCAGAUGAUUGGGGUGAAGUCGUAACAAGGUAACCGU
rnacentral:rRNA from 1 species